CACACGUGUUAUUCAAAAAUGGAGUCGGUACGGAAUCAGUAAUUUGGACUUUUCACUUGUGCAGGUGCAACACUACUGUGUUGAAGUCAUUCGGACUAAUGUACCCCUAGUCCGCUUUGCUACUUCCCCUCCGCCGCAGUCUACGGCGGCAAUUGAAGAAGUCAUGGCGGAGCUGUGAAACCCUAAUGCUAUCUAAUUAACUUUUUCUCAAAACACCUCCCACUAGAGUGAUUGAUAAAGAAAGCCCUCUGCAAAUCUCCUUUCUGGAUUUGAAACUAGAUGGGAUUGGGAUCCCUUCUUCAAGUAUUGGAGAAGUACCAAUGCUUAGACUUAUUCAUUUUGGAUUUGUGUAGCGUAUCAACAAUGAAAAUGUUGGAAGAGAAAGAUAGUUUUGGGAAUGGUAGCCUUCAAGUUUGAGUCAAUUGUGGGACCAAGCUACACUACAGAGCUUCAUGGAGAAGUUGGGAGAAAAGAGAGAGCAUUAUAAGCAGCAACUGUUGACUUGAGCCGAGUUAGAAAUACUCCUGAAAAAACCUCUAUGUUGUAAAGAAGGUUAAACCUCUAUGUUCAUAAGACUAUGAAUUUCUCUACUAUUACCUGUCAUUCUGUUUGUCUUCAAAUUCCACACUUUCGAAAUAGUCUCUGUUCUUUACUCAUUUAGUUGAGAUGGGAUCUAUCUGUUUUUUAUCUUGAAGACCAUAAAAUGUCUCUUUGCAUCAAGUCAUUAAUUUAUAACAAAACAGUCUAUGCAAGUUCUAAUAAAUGAGUCAAUGAAGUGUGUUGCAUUA